rnacentral:lncRNA from 1 species
UCAGGUAUAGAUUUGUUUCUCUCACUAUACCAUUAUUUUAAAAUUUAACAGUUUCAACUCGAUUGAGUAUGGAAAUCAAUCUUUACAGCUUCCCGUGCUUUGCUCCUGUGAAAUAAACAUCUCACCAAAAACAUAAAAUGUAGUAAUACCUUAAAAUUACAAAAGAACUAUCUAAAUGCCUAAUUAGUAAGUUAGAAAAUUCUUAUAUGUUUUACUCAAAAUGGGGGAGGAAUUUUAUUCAUAUAAGAAAUAUAUUUCUAAAGAAAGUAACUUUUCAUUUAAAUAUCAAUUUAGACUUGAAACCAGAAUCGGAAUUUAAAGGAUCAUCAGACAGAAGCAAAGAAAGUUUUGCUAAAAGAUAUCUGGGACAGAAAGGAAGGAGGAAAACCUUCCAGGAGAGAGGAUAGGCAGAAGAAAGUAAGGAUGCUUGCAAGUAAUGUAAACUUUGAUGUUUAACUAAAAUAGAAGACCUGUCAUAAGAACAUAAAUUAUUUUCUGAAGGAAAGAUAGUGUGGAGAAUCACUGUCAUUUCUUAUGCAGUAUAAUAAUCAUUUGAAACAUAUUUUAAGAAAGCUCUUUGAAAAAAUGAUUUGUAAUAUAUUAUGAAAUAGAAUCAUGACAAUCAUAAGGAUAAUAUCCUGAGUUAGAAUUUUAUCAUUACUUACAAGUUUAUCCUUUUCUGUAUGAAAAAAGUAUAUCCCAGGCUUCAGCACUCUGUUUGCCAGAGUUGUCUCUCUCUAAAGAAAAAAAGAUCGAAGAGUAAACUUGGAAUGUGUAAGCAAGAGGUUCUUCUUUUGAAGAAAAUGUUAUAAAAACAUUUUGUUUCCUGUAGAAACCUAAUUUCCCUCAAAGUGGAAAUUCUUCACAAUUUAUCAGCAGAAAACUUUCAGGAUGGCUUUCAUCAGUGGUCUUGCUAACUAUUUUGUUGUUUUCACUGAUCAGCAUGCUCCUAGAAGUAUUCUGGAAAGAGUGACAAGAUUUAUACGUGCAUGGAGAAAUAAAAAGAUCAAAUGCAGUAUUUCUUUGGGACAACAUGAAGGUCACCAGAGGAGAAAUUCUAAUGGGAAGCCUAUUCAACCCACUCUUCAAAUGAAAGGUUUUUUCACAAACCAAGAAGUAGGAAAAGGAGUUGAAAAACGAAAAGUUGAUGCUUCGAAAUGGGAUUCUCCAAGUACGUCUCAGAAAAAUGAGAGUCCCAGAAAUUCCAAUGAUUUGACAUUUCAAAAGAAUUAUUCUUGCAAGUCACUGCAAAGUAAAGAUCAGUUAGCACCCACAGAAUUUGGAAAGAUUGCAAUAAAAGAAAAUGAAGCAUCUGCAGCUGAAGCUGGAAGUGGGCCUGACACUGGCUCGAAAGUUGGAGUUCAAAUAGAAAAAUCAGUCCCUCAGAAGCAGUGUGAACCACCUCUAGGAAAAGAGAAUCAGAAAGAAGGAAAGAAAGGAUAAAGUUACUUUAGAAACAACCAGCAUACCAGAACAAAUGGCACCUAAGGAACAAGUUAAGUCUCUUUCUGCUCCAUUUUUGAACAAGAAAAGAACGCCUGAAGUACUAGAAUCCAGUAGCAAAUCUCCUGGUGAUGACAUACAUUCAAGUCCAGAAACUAAAUGGAAAAAAACUUGUAAAAAAACAUGGAUUGAGGAGGAAAAGGAAGUUUGUGGUGAAAUCUAUGAAAAGGGUAAUGUUGCUACUCCGACAAAAGACAACCUCCACGAAGAUGACUUUAAAGAAUCAAAAAAAAUACUAGAAACAUCUCCUACUUUGGCAAAAAAAUUAAGGGAUUCUGUGGAAAAGGAGAAACAUAAAUGCCCUGUCAGGGUAAGAAUCCUUAAAUCAUUUGCUGGGCAAACGGAACAAGAUCGGCCUUUCCACAAAAAUGUUCCUGUGUUUCCUACCAAUGUGUGCUCACAAAAAAGCACCCUGCAACUUAAGAAUGAUAAUGAGCCAGAAAUUGAAUGUACUUAUGUUGCAAAAAAGCCUGAACUUAUACCUCCAAGAAAAUGUAAGGAGAAAACAAAACGUAAAACAAUCUUGUUUGAAAAUAGUCAUCACAGCGUCAGUAACUCUACAGAUGAGUUAAACCGUUGGAGACCCUCCCUUCCUUAUAGGGAGAAAAUCGCAAAAAUGGACAUAGAUUCCUCAUUAAAACAAUGUACACAAAGAAUUAAAAUUCAAUUUGAAAUAAUACAAGCAAAAUCCCCGACUUUGGAGAAAGAAAAAAUACCACCACAAAAAGAGGUAGAUUCACCUUCUGCCACUCUAUAUUCUAUUUAAUUUUCCUCUUCAUCAAUCAUCCUGUGAAAUUGAUUUUUCACUUCCAAUGCUUGCUAUUUGUACAACAUGUUUUGAAAACUGCCUUAAGGAAAAUACCCAGAAAGCCUUUUUGAUAGUUUUUAUUUUGGUCAUCUAAAUUACCCCACUUUCUAAAUGAGACAUACAAAUUGUAAUAUUAGACUAGAUAGCCAAAAGAACAAGGAUAAGCCUAAAGAUAAUUAAGAAAGAGUCCUAAAAGAAAUAUAAUGAACUCAGAUUCUCUUUUAUGCAAAUCCUUGUAAUAUAUGACAUUUGAAAGAAUUUUGCUUUCUAUGGACAUUUUUAUCUUCUUAACUAAAUGUAAGGUGUUGUGACUUAAAAUACUGAAAAUAUAAGAUAAUUUGGGAAAUUUCUAACAAAUGUAUAUGAUGCAGGUAAUACUUUUAUGGUCAUCUGAUACUUCAUCUUUACUGAUUUUACUAAAAUCAUUACUUUUUUGCAUUUCAAAACAAAGUUAAACACAAUUUUGCUAAUUGAUCAUCUAAAAUCAGUUUUCAUUGGGCAUUAAUAUGCUAUUUCUCCAUUUAUCCCACUAGUAAUAAAUUAUAGGAUUGGUAUUUAAACCUCAAUCUUCUGCCUUCAAGUUCAGUGCUCUUCUUCUUGUAUUUAGUUUUUCAAACUAUGUUUUUAUUCGCUAUAGAUAUUUGCAUAAUUGACUAGCUGUAGAUAUUGUUAUACUAGCACUGUUAAUUCGUUGAAUUUUAUUUUGGGGGGAAGGAGCAUUGACAGUCAUUGAGUCAAGCCCCAUUAUCUUAUGAAUGAGAAAUUUUAGGCUCAGGAAAGUUAGAUUGCAUGGCCAGGGUCUUUUGGCUCCUCUAUACCUUAACAUGCCUGUCUUAUAAUUAUCUUUUCACAAUAAUAGCUGAGCAUAUAAUACAGGAGAGUGUAUACAAAUCCAAAGACACUUAGACUUAGAUUUAAGAGCUUCUUGUAAUACAGACUAGUUAUGUUAACCUGGGCAAAUCCAUUGACCUUACCAGGCAAUUGAUACUAGGAGCAGAGGCUGAUCUGACUUUGUGGAGGGAGUUUCCUCACUUGAAGUUACUCACACUGAUAAACUCACAGGUUCUGUCCAAAAACAAUGAGAAUAAUAUUUGUAUAACUCUCAAAUUACAAAGUCAUCUCAUUUGAUCUUCAUUACUAUUCCUUAUAAAGGGGUGUCACCCAUAUUUGUGGACCAGGCAAAAGAAGCUCAGCCAAUACAAAUGACUUUGAAAAAUGGUCAAUUGGGUUACUUAAUGUAUCUGUGCUUCAGGUUCCUAAUCUACAAAAUGAUAGCAUUACACUAAGAUUUUUUUUCCUAUUUUUUUUUUUUUGUGCUUCUGGGAAUAUGAAAAGGGAAUAGCAUUGAUUUUCCAUAAGGUAGCAGUCACAGUGCCUAAAUCUCACUCUACUCAAUUUCCUAUGUUGUUAAUCCAGUAUUUCAGUGACUACUUCAAGUUUUAUUGUUUGUUUUUUGCUUUGGUUUAUUUUUUUAACUUUACAGUAAGAAAUAAGAAAUGAGAAAUGGAAUGGGAAACCCCUAUCAUGUGGUUGUACAUAAAAUUGGUCUGUCUUUGCAUUGUGGGAACAUGGUAGAAAAGGCCAAAAAUAAAUCAGAUAUUGUAUCUUUACCCUGUCUGCUUUUUAAAGGAGAGAGAGAAGAGAACUUGAAAGUAGAAUGAGAAAACAAAAUGAGAUAGAAAUUGAGCUAUCAUUUUGACAUUUGAGUCGAUAUUUCAACUUUCAAACAAAAUUUAUAAAACUAUGACCAUUUUAUAUCCAAAUAAAAAGUGAAGAUGAUAUAGAGGAUAACAUGUAUUUCAAAAUAAAAUUGAAAAAUGAAAGGCAGUGUGGCAUAUUUCAUAGGAAGCUAAGAAUAUUUAGUUCAAGUCCCAUUUCUGACAUAUGUAGACAAGUCACUUAAUACUUAUAUUCUAGAUUUUCGUAACAUUGGUAGAGGGAAUUUUCUCUUCAGGUAGUUCCUUGUACUAGUUAAACCACAAGUCUAGUUCUUAACCCAAGUAAGUAUGUAAAUAUAUAUGUAUAAAAGUGUGCAUGUAUACACACACACACACACACACA